UACAGAGGGUGCGAGCGUUAAUCGGAAUUACUGGGCGUAAAGCGUGCGUAGACGGUUAUGUAAGUCGGGUGUGAAAGCCCCGGGCUCAACCUGGGAAUUGCAUUCGAGACUGUGUAGCUAGGGUACGGAAGAGGGAAGCGGAAUUUCAGGUGUAGCGGUGAAAUGCGUAGAUAUCUGAAGGAACACCAGUGGCGAAAGCGGCUUCCUGGUCCAGUACCGACGUCAGGCACGAAAGCGUGGGGAGCAAACAGGA
rnacentral:rRNA from 1 species